AGCGAACGCUGGCGGCAGGCCUAACACAUGCAAGUCGAACGAACCUUUCGGGGUUAGUGGCGGACGGGUGAGUAACACGUGGGAACGUGCCUUUAGGUUCGGAAUAACUCAGGGAAACUUGUGCUAAUACCGAAUGUGCCCUUCGGGGGAAAGAUUUAUCGCCUUUAGAGCGGCCCGCGUCUGAUUAGCUAGUUGGUUGAGGUAAUGGCUCACCAAGGCGACGAUCAGUAGCUGGUCUGUGAGGAUGAUCAGCCACAUUGGGACUGAGACACGGCCCAAACUCCUACGGGAGGCAGCAGUGGGGAAUCUUGCGCAAUGGGCGAAAGCCUGACGCAGCCAUGCCGCGUGAAUGAUGAAGGUCUUAGGAUUGUAAAAUUCUUUCACCGGGGACGAUAAUGACGGUACCCGGAGAAGAAGCCCCGGCUAACUUCGUG
rnacentral:rRNA from 1 species